rnacentral:rRNA from 1 species
UACGUAGGGGCCGAGCGUUGUCCGGAGUUAUUGGGCGUAAAGCGCGCGCAGGCGGCUUCGCGCGCCCGCCGUGAAAGCCCCCGGCUUAACCGGGGAGAGUCGGUGGGGACGGCGGAGCUUGAGGGCGGGAGAGGUCGGUGGAAUUCCCGGUGUAGUGGUGAAAUGCGUAGAGAUCGGGAGGAACACCUGUGGCGAAGGCGGCCGACUGGGCCGACCCUGACGCUGAGGAGCGAAAGCGUGGGGAGCGAACAGG